UUAGAUUGUUGUUAGCCUCUUUCAAUAUGGU
rnacentral:piRNA from 1 species